rnacentral:lncRNA from 1 species
UUCAAUUCUCUUAGAAUUCUUUCCUUUAGAGAUCUCGGUCUUGAAGGCUAGUGUCUUUCUCUUGCCUUGAUCCUCUUCAGCAGUUAGUCUCCUCAACUCAAGCUCAUGCUCACGGAGCUUUCCAAACAGAAUUGGUAUCGUCAUCUGAGUGAGAUUCUGAGACUCCGUGAUGGCAGUCACCUUUGGUUGCCAAGACCUGUCUAAUGAUUUCAAAAUUUUUACAUUUAAUUCAUCAGUAUCAAAAGUCUUACCCAACCCAGUCAAGUGAUUCACAAUGUGAGUGAAACGCUUUUGGACAUUAGAAAUUGUUUCUCAAGGUUGCAUUCUGAACAUCUCAUAU